rnacentral:rRNA from 1 species
UAAAAAAUAUAUUUUAUUUUAAAAUUUAUUAAUUUAAUUUUAAUUUAAUAAAUUAAAUUUUUUUUGUUAAAAUUUUAAAUUUAAUUAUUUUAAAAAUUACAAAUUAAUUUAUAAAUUAAUUAAAAUUUAAGAAAAAUUAAUUUUUUUUACCUUUUGUAUCAGGAUUAAUUUAAAAAUUAUUUAAAUUUAAAAUUCUCGAAUUUAAAAAAUUUAAAUUUUUAAUUUUAAUAAUAUAAAAUUAUUAUAUAAAAUAAAAAUUUAGAAACCAUAAAUUAAUCAAUUUUAAAAAUAUCUAGUUAUUUAGAAAAUAAAUUUAAUUUAUUUUUAAUUUAUAAAAAAAUAUUUUAUUUAAAUAUUUUUAAAAAUUAAAUAAAUAAUUUAAGGGAUAAACUUUAAAUUAAUUUUAUAAAUUUAUUUUUUAAAAAUUUUAUAAUUUAAAAAUAAAAUUAUUUUUUAUUAAAAAAUAUAUAAUAAUUUUAUAAAAUUUAUUAAAAAUUUAAUUAAAUUUUAAUUAAAUUACUAAAUUAAAAAAUUAAAUUAAUAAAUUUUUAAAAUAAUGAUUAAAUUAGUAAUAAAUAAUAAUUAAAUUUAAUAUAAUAAAUAAAUUUUUAAAUUAAUUUAAUUAACUAGGCAAAUUUAUAUUCACCUGUUUAACAAAAACAUGUCUUAUUGAUAAUAAUUUUAAGUCAAAUCUGCUCAAUGAAUAAUUUAAAUAGCUGCAGUAUCCAUAACUGUACAAAGGUAGCAUAAUAAUUAGUUUUUUAAUUGAAAACUAGAAUGAAUGAUUUAAUGAAAUAUAAACUGUCUCAAAUUAAAAAAAUAAAUUUUUUAUUUAAAUAAAAAAAUUUAAAUAAAUAAUAAAGACGAGAAGACCCUAUAGAAUUUUUAUAAUUUUUUAUAAUUAAUUUAAAUUAUAUAAAAAUUAUUUUAAUUGGGGAAAUUUUAAAAUUUAAAUAAUUUUUAAUUAAAAUAAACAAUUAUUUUUGAAUAUUUUAUAUUUUAUAAAAAAAUAAAUUAAAUUACCUUAGGGAUAACAGCAUAAUUUUUUUUAAAAGUUCUUAUUUAAAAAAAAGUUUAUGACCUCGAUGUUGAAUUAAAAUUAAUUUAAUAGAAAAAUAUUAAAAAUUUAAGUCUGUUCGACUUUUAAAAUUUUACAUGAUUUGAGUUAAGAUCGGUGUAAGCCAGAUCGGAUUCUAUCUUAUUAAUUAUUAAAUAUUUUUGUACGAAAGGAAUUUAUAUUUAAAAUAAUUUUUAUUAUAAAAUUAAAUAAAUAAUUUAAUA